GAACGCGUUGGCCCAAUUGAUUGAUGGUGCUUGCACCUGAUUGAUUUUGGUCGCCAACGAGUGGCGGACGGGUGAGUAACACGUAGGUAACCUGCCCAGAAGCGGGGGACAACAUUUGGAAACAGAUGCUAAUACCGCAUAACAACGUUGUUCGCAUGAACAACGCUUAAAAGAUGGCUUCUCGCUAUCACUUCUGGAUGGACCUGCGGUGCAUUAGCUUGUUGGUGGGGUAAUGGCCUACCAAGGCGAUGAUGCAUAGCCGAGUUGAGAGACUGAUCGGCCACAAUGGGACUGAGACACGGCCCAUACUCCUACGGGAGGCAGCAGUAGGGAAUCUUCCACAAUGGGCGCAAGCCUGAUGGAGCAACACCGCGUGAGUGAAGAAGGGUUUCGGCUCGUAAAGCUCUGUUGUUAAAGAAGAACACGUAUGAGAGUAACUGUUCAUACGUUGACGGUAUUUAACCAGAAAGUCACGGCUAACUACGUGCCAGCAGCCGCGGUAAUACGUAGGUGGCAAGCGUUAUCCGGAUUUAUUGGGCGUAAAGAGAGUGCAGGCGGUUUUCUAAGUCUGAUGUGAAAGCCUUCGGCUUAACCGGAGAAGUGCAUCGGAAACUGGAUAACUUGAGUGCAGAAGAGGGUAGUGGAACUCCAUGUGUAGCGGUGGAAUGCGUAGAUAUAUGGAAGAACACCAGUGGCGAAGGCGGCUACCUGGUCUGCAACUGACGCUGAGACUCGAAAGCAUGGGUAGCGAACAGGAUUAGAUACCCUGGUAGUCCAUGCCGUAAACGAUGAGUGCUAGGUGUUGGAAGGUUUCCGCCCUUCAGUGCCGGAGCUAACGCAUUAAGCACUCCGCCUGGGGAGUACGACCGCAAGGUUGAAACUCAAAGGAAUUGACGGGGGCCCGCACAAGCGGUGGAGCAUGUGGUUUAAUUCGAAGCUACGCGAAGAACCUUACCAGGUCUUGNNAUCUUGCGCCANNNCUAGAGAUAGGGCGUUUCCUUCGGGAACGCAAUG
rnacentral:rRNA from 2 species